GAUGAAGAACGUAGUGAAAUGCGAUAAGUAGUGUGAAUUGCAGAAUUCAGUGAAUCAUCGAAUCUUUGAACGCACAUGGCGCCUUCCAGUAUCCUGGGAGGCAUGCCUGUCCGAGCGUCGUUUCAACCCUCGAGCCCCCGUGGCCCGGCGUUGGGGAUCUGCCCAGGCAGUCCCCGAAAACCAGUGGCGGACCCGUUACAGGCCCUUCCCUUGCGUAGUAGCAUUCGCCUCGCAUCGGGAGCCGGCGGGCUUCCAGCCUCUAAACCCCCAUCAAGUCCGCCCCGGCGGCACCAAGGUUGACCUCGGAUCAGGUAGGAAUACCCGCUGAACUUAAGCAUAUCAAUAAGCGGAGGA
rnacentral:misc_RNA from 1 species